rnacentral:tRNA from 1 species
GGGGCUGUGGCUCAGUUGUAGAGCAGCUGCUUGGCAUGCUGAAGGUCUCUGGUUCAAACCCCGGCACUCCA